CAGGCCUAACACAUGCAAGUCGAACGGUCAGUAGCAAUACUGAUAGUGGCGCACGGGUGCGUAACACGUAACUAACCUACCUAUACCUGGGGGAUAGCCCGCCGAAAGGCGGAUUAAUACCGCAUAAGCUCUGAGGGUGGCAUCACCUUUUUAGUAAAGAUUUAUUGGGUAUAGAUGGGGUUGCGGGUCAUUAGCUAGUUGGUUGGGUAAUGGCUGACCAAGGCGACGAUGACUAGGGGAGCUGAGAGGCUGGUCCCCCACACGGGCACUGAGAUACGGGCCCGACUCCUACGGGAGGCAGCAGUAGGGAAUAUUGGGCAAUGGGCGAGAGCCUGACCCAGCCAUGCCGCGUGCAGGAAGAAGGCUUUCUGAGUCGUAAACUGCUUUUGACAGGGAAGAAUAAACUGGACGUGUC
rnacentral:rRNA from 1 species